rnacentral:lncRNA from 1 species
GGAUCAGCCCAGUAAGCAAUUCUGAACUAUGAUGCCAUGGCAAGAGAAAUACCCCCUUAAGCAAAUGAUUGCCUACAGGAAAAUAAAAGGAAACAGGUUCAUAAGGUAAGGUUACUGGCUCCAAAUAGGAUAUAAUUUUCAUAUAUCAUACCAUGUUUGUCGACAUCGAACAGCCUCUUGGCGAACAGCCCUUUUCUUAUCAUCAAGAGCCUUGCUUGCUGCUUGCAAGACCUGCAAGAAUGUACCACUCUGGUCUGAGUAAUCUUUUCUUCUUUCAGAAGGGAGUUUUCUUAUUUAACAACAGCUAUAGACCCAAAAUUCCCCAUACUUUCCUCUGAACUCUCUUAACAUGAACUUAGUCAUAAGAUAGAUAUACACCAAAUCAUUUAUCGAUGUGAAGUGUGCAGCUGAAGCACAAGGACUAAUUGUGUUCACCAAUUAGGGGGCUGCUAUCCAUGAUUACAAAGCAUAGUAUAGUACUCCCUCCGAUACAUAUAAGUGUCUCAGAGUUAGUACAACUUUUGUACUAAAUCUGAUACACUUACUAUGGAUCGGAGGGAGUAGUAUUCAAUUACUUGAGCAACCUAUGGUUACUCCAGGGCCAUAUUACAUGCAUAUAUUUCUCAAGAACCUAUCUGCAUAAAUAGAAAACUGACCUGUGGCCGCAUGCGAUACAUUUUUGAGUGGGGAAAGCUAGACAUGGCAACAAAACAUUGCAAGGCCGUCUCCCGAACAACCUGUAGGAAAAAGGGAAAAGGUUGUGAAAUAAGCUAAUCUUACAAAUGGAACGAGUAGAAGUGAAUAUACGUAACGCUAGUAUACCAUCAUGUGAGGAUAGGAAACAAGUUGUGUGAGAACACUGACAACAAUGUGGAUAUUCUCAAGAAUGCAUUCUUUGCCUGUGUAAGAAGAAUAAGAUGAUCAGUUAGCGACUGAAUCAAAUUAAGUUCCAUUAGGAGCUCAGUACAAAAGUGAAGAACACUGCAAACAUCAAAGUUUUGCAGAACUAACAAAAGAAGAUGAGCAAUCUAAACUCUGAUGGAUCAUAUCCAUAAAUGCACAUCAAACAUAAUUUAUUGCAUUAAUGGCUACUAACUAGGAACUUAGGGAAGUAAAAAGUAAUGUAAACAAUAUCACCUUUUUCAUCCAUCAACAUUCCAGAUAAUACAAGCAACAUAUUAUACACUAGAUCUUUAUCCUGAAUAUCCACACUCAAUUUAGCUAAGCUAUCAACCAUCACAAGUAAAAUCUGAAAAAGGGGGUUAAACAGUCUGUCAACUAGUAUACUCUGGUCUGACAAAGGUUGUACAUGCUUUAAUCGAGAAGGAACAUACCUGAUGGGCUUCUGUUAUAACUGCUGAUACUGGAGCAUUGGAAAUAAUAUGCCCAAAUGCUCGAUAUAAUACCAACCUGCAGUAGAUGAUUAUUUUUUUGGUCACUUCAAGGCAUUUAACAAAUAGAAAAGGCACCGAACGAUGUAAACAUACAUGAACAGUUAAUUUAAUAAACGAACACUAGCAUAAAGGCCAUCACCUAGCAAUAGCAGCAAAACUUUAACCAAAAUACAUAUCUUCUAGAGUAUUCACGAGGCAAAGUACAAUAUAGGACUAAAUGAAUGAAAGUGAUGCUACUUAGUAUAUUAUCCUGAUGUGACCUGAAAUGUUUUCUUUUGGGAGGCACACAUAGCAUCAAGAACUCAUUGAGUUCUGUAAACUCAUGCCAAUUCAGAAUAUGCGAUGUUAUCACCAAACUUAUGUUACAGUACCAUCUUGAUAUCAGAUAUGAUUUCAUCACAUUGCUCUUUUCAGUAACAUGUGGAAUAGGGAAAAAGUAUGCAAGCUAAACCCUCAGUCAUUUGGUACAAACAAAUCCAAAAUAAAUGCACAUAAGGGCCUUGUCCGAACACCAGGAACAAAAAUGUUUCAAAUUUCAAUUCUUCCAACUGCAAUGACAGAACAAAUAUAUCCACAUGCGUCCUCAAACUUACAGAAAAAAAAACAGUACAAGGAAAGAUAUGAUAAAAGGGAGAUACUAAUGAUGGAUACAGGACCAGGACAAAGUUACAGAAACAUGCUACUAGAAAAGCAUAUGACUGGAACCAAUACAAUAUAUAGAACAAAGUGAUAGGAACAUGGAUACCUACUUUGUGGUCAACACAGGGGUCUCCUUAAUUUUGGAGAGAAAAAUUGGCAUCAAUAUUGAGAAGAAACGCUGCUUAUAUAACAGCUUAAUUUUUGCAUGGAACUUUUUAUUUAGGCAGACUUCUGAAUCACUCAUCAUAACAUGGAAUGCAUCGGCUGCAGAUGUUGCAAGAGAAGCAUCUGAUGAAACAUUGUCAUUUUGUGUUUUCUGGUAGGGUUGAACGUUCACCGAAUUCUGAUCUGAGACCAGGCAUUUCAGAAGAAACAUUGAAACGUCCUUCACCUUUUCAUCUCCUCUCAUAAGCAAUCCUUUACCAAUCCAAGCCAAGCCACACAAGAUAUCAACCUUCGAACCUACGCUUCCAGACAUGCUGUCUGAACAAUUAGCAUUAUCUGAAAUGGCGCCCGAAGAGUGAGAUAUCUUCGAAUUGCUGCUGGCUAAUACAAUUGAGAAACACCUCCCAAGAAUAACAUCAAGUAUUUUAUCCAGCUUAUUCUCAUGUGAGAACUCUGAGUUAUGUAGAUAUUUAUUGAAAAUAGAAGCUAAUGCAUGAGCAGCUGGCAUUUGUCCAUUCAGUAGAAACACAGCGAAGAGGUUAAUCAUCAUGGUCAUAUCUUGUACAGGUGUUUGAGGCCGAAGACCAACUAUAACUGAAGAAAGCAUACAUACAAGAGCUUUGUCUUGAGCAGAGUGUGCAGGAACCAACUCAUCAUCUUCGGACAAAACAUGGUGCACCAUUGACUUC